CUUGUGCCUGUGGGUUGCUCUCGGUGGUGAUGCCUACUGUUCGAAACAAAAACAAAAACAAGUUUUGCUCUCAAUCCCCUGCCAUCCCCUCCCCGUCUCAUUUUACCUCAUGUCAAGAUUGAUUCAGUUUCUUGCAUAUUCAAACUCUGUACCUGAAUAUUUCCAGGUUGUGUUCAGUUAAGAUCCACUUUUUGUAUUGAAUUAAGUUGUAAUUACUCAAAAUUAGUAUGUGAAAAAUAAAUAAUAAAGCUAAUUAGCUUUACACUAGAAAAACAAGACGCCAGCAUAUAAACUUUUCAGUCUUACUUAUCUGCAGAUUGGUGGCUUAUAAAAAAACCAAUAGCAUACUCGACUCCUCCUCUGUUGAUCCAGGUGAGGCCAUGCUUCAGCACCUACCCCUUUUCUUUUGUAGUUCAUAAAUAUCCUUUAUUAGAUCUAUAAAGUAUAGUGCUGCAUAAGUUACUCCACUGUAUUAUCUGGUUACCGUCCUCCUUUGAAAAACUGAUUGAUGCUCCCAGGGACAUUUUUUUUUGUUUCAGCACAUAUGCCUAGGUUCGUAUGUGAAUUAUUUUCCUUGGUGUUUUGAUAUCCAGUGGGAUGGUGGCAAGGAGUUUCAAGGUGCACGCGAGCUUCUUCUUCUGUUAUUGAUGCCACCUGCCAUGUAUUCCAGAGUAAAUAGCACCACAUGCUUGUGCUACCUAUCACAACUCUGGACAUGUUUACUUCCUUCCUUUUCAUCUUGAGGCAACCUCCAGUGACAAAACAAGGAGUGAAGAUGGUGUUGUGUUGCUUUGUACAUGUGAGCAACAUAUUGCAGAAAGGUUUUCUGCACGCGAGGACAUGACCCAUUUAUACAAUCAAGCAUCAAUGGUUACAAGAGAAUGGGAUGUACAAGAGUUGUCUGGUAGGCAUACCUGCACUAAUCCUUGACAAGCCAGAUCCAUGAAUAUGCCUUCCUUGCUUUUACUGUUGGUGU